rnacentral:rRNA from 1 species
ACCCGCUGAAUUUAAGCAUAUCAAUAAGCGGAGGAAAAGAAACUAACAAGGAUUCCCCUAGUAACGGCGAGCGAAGCGGGAAUAGCCCAGCACCGAAUCCCCUGCCUCGCAGGUAGCGGGAACUGUGGUGUUUAGGACAGCCUAUGGGGUGGUGUUCGGACGUCCGAGUCCUCCUGAUCGGGGCCUUUCCCAUAGCGGGUGUCAGGCCUCUACUGGCGACCGUCGCCUCCCCUUUGUGCGUCCUUGGAGUCGGGUUGUUUGGGAAUGCAGCCCAAAGUGGGUGGUAAACUCCAUCUAAGGCUAAAUACUGACACGAGACCGAU